CGGACAGAGCUGGCGUAUCUGGCCUGUAUUCAGCCGUGCGCUCGCCGGCGUCAGAGAUGCCGCUCUCCAGAUUGGGACGGUGCCUGGCUGCUGGUGGGUGUGUGGUGCAUUUGCAGGUGGAGUGCGCUGAGGUGCUCGGUGCAGCGGCAUGADCUCAGCCUUGAGGCCAGCCUCGCAAGAGGUCUGGUACCCGGGCUGUGGGAGUGCUGUUUGUGCUGGGUAGGCAAUCGGGGGCAAUGGUUUCGGGCUCGUGUGGGUGCCGAGCUGGCAUUUGGUGGCGGUCGCAUGCGACACGUACCUACGGUCAGUUCGGUCCUGCCCGAGCUCACAUCUGCUCUUCCUCGGUGUAAAAGCCGGUCAUCUGUCCGACCCGUCUUGAAACACGGACCAAGGAGUUUAGCGUGUGCGCGAGUCAUUGGGUGUUGAAAACCCAAGGGCGCAAUGAAAGUGAAGGUCUCCCUUGCGGAGCUGAUGUGUGAUCCUGGUCACCGCGGUGCAUCCAGGCGCAACAUAGUCCCGUCCUGACCGCUUGCGGUGGGGCGGAGACAGAGCGUACGCGCUGAG
rnacentral:rRNA from 1 species